rnacentral:rRNA from 1 species
UACGUAGGGGGCAAGCGUUGUCCGGAAUCAUUGGGCGUAAAGAGCGUGUAGGCGGUCCGGUAAGUCGGGUGUGAAAGUCCAGGGCUCAACCCUGGGAUGCCGAUCGAUACUGUCGGACUAGAGUUCGGAAGAGGCGAGUGGAAUUCCCGGUGUAGCGGUGAAAUGCGCAGAUAUCGGGAGGAACACCAAUGGCGAAGGCAGCUCGCUGGGACGUUACUGACGCUGAGGCGCGAAAGCGUGGGGAGCAAACAGG